rnacentral:rRNA from 1 species
UACGGGGGGUGCGAGCGUUGUCCGGAAUCACUGGGCGUAAAGGGCGCGUAGGUGGUCUGAUAAGGGUGUGGUGAAAGCCCGGGGCUCAACCCCGGGUCGGCCGUGCCGACUGUUGGACUAGAGUGCUGUAGGGGCAGGCGGAAUUCCGGGUGUAGCGGUGGAAUGCGUAGAGAUCCGGAGGAACACCGGUGGCGAAGGCGACGUCCUGGACCGGCAUUGACGCUGAGGCGCGAAAGCCAGGGGAGCAAACGGG